rnacentral:rRNA from 1 species
UGAGUUUGAUCCUGGCUCAGAAUGAACGCUAGCCGUAGGCUUAACACAUGCAAGUUGUACGUUUAUGUAUUAACAUACAAAAAAGUAGCGAACGGGUGAGUAACGCGUAAGAAUCUGCCUUUUAAUCUGUGGAAUAUGGAAGCCCUUAGGGACUAAAUAGAAUCAUGGAUAAUAAAUAAAGAAAUAAAUUUCGUUAAAAGAUGAGCUUGCGUAAGAUUAGGUAGUUGGUAAGGUAAAGGCUUACCAAGCCAAAGAUCUUUAGCUGGUUUGAGAGAAUGAUCGGCCACAUUGGGAAUGAGAGACGGCCCAAAUACUUUAGAGUAGCAGCAGUGAGGAAUAUUGGACAAUGGGCGCAAGCCUGAUCCAGCUAUACGGCGUGAAUGUAGAAGACUGUAUUGGUUGUAAAAUUCUUUGAUGAUAUUAGAGAUUAUGACAACGUAUCAUCAAAAAGUCCCGGCUAAUCUCGUGCCAGCAGCCGCGGUAAUACGAGAGGGGCAAGCGUUAUUCGGAAUGAUUGGGCGUAAAGCGUGCGUAGAUGGUUUUUUGUGAUUUAUGGCUAAAAUCAAGGCAACACCUUGAUAAUUCAUAAGCUGCAAUCAACUUGAGUCGAUAUUAGGAGAGUAGAAUUCCUGGCGUAGGGGUAAAAUCUGUUGAUUUCAGGAGGAAUACCUAAAGCGAAAGCAGCUCUCUAGUAUACUACUGACAUUGAGGCACGAAAGCGUGGGUAGCGAAAAGGAUUAGAUACCCUUGUAGUCCACGCCGUCAACUAUGACCUUUUUCUAUUUCUCUUCGAAAGGGGGGAAGUGGAGUAGCUAACGCGUUAAAUGGUCCGCCUGAGGAGUACGGUCGCAAGAUUAAAACUCAAAGGAAUAGACGGGGACCCGCACAAGUGGUGGAACAUCGCGGUUUAAUGCGAAACAACGCGCAAAACCUUACCAGUCCUUGAUAUAAUACUUUUUACUUUUUUGUAAAACUUUUAAAGAUAUUAUAGUCUUUAAAUGAUGUAUUACAGGUGUUGCAUGGCUGUCGUCGGUUCGUGCCGCAAGGCGUUGGAUUAAUUUCUUUAACGAACGAAACCCCUGUUUUCAUUUGCUAAUAUAUUUAUGAUCACAUAAAUAUAAGUACUUUGAAAUUACUGCCAGUGAUAAAUUGGAGGAAGGAAGGGAUUACGUCAAGUCCUCAUGACCCUUAUGGGCUGGGCUACACGUGUGUUACAAUGGCGAAUACAAAAAGAUGCAAUGAUGAAAGUCGGAGCGAACCUAUAAAAUUCGUCAAAGUACAGAUUGUUUUCUGCAAUUCGAAAACAUGAAGAAGGAAUCACUAGUAAUCGUGGAUCAGCACGCCACGGUGAAUCAGUACUCGGGUCUUGUACUCCCCGCCCGUCACACUCUGGAAAUCGACAAGGUUGUAAGUCUGUAUUAGUAUAUUGAUUUAAGAAUUAUUCUUGAAAGAAUAUGGUAAAUUAUUUUAAUAGAAAAUGCACCCAGAAUUUUUUUGGUAACUGGAGUGAAGUCGUAACAAGGUAACCGUAGGGGAACCUGCGGUUG